rnacentral:tRNA from 1 species
GCUGGGGUGCAGCUCAGUUGGUAAAGCACUUGCCUAGCAUGCAUGAGGCCCUGGGUUCAGUCCCCAGCUUUGCCA